GCAUAUCUGAAAUCUGAUUUUAUAAAUUUGUGAAGAUAGUAGAAUGACACUAGCUCGGUUAUUCAUCACCUGUGCAAUAGUUUAGACUUUACACUUGCAUUACAUCUGCCAAAUACAAGAUCCUGAACAAUCUUUCAACAAGGACGUAAAAUCAGAGACAAAGGCAUACUUAAUGUCACCUUUUCAAGUAAAAAUUAUGUGUCAGGAAGGAUAUCCACAGCUGAUAUCCUCAAUAUGAUGGCCAUUGCUAAUGAAAGUAUUGCAAAUCUAAUGGUUAAGUGACUUGUAUUUCAAUGAGAUCCCCCAUUAAUAACUGAAGACAAAUUUCGUUUGGGUGAAAAAUGACAGCAUCGGGCAAAAAAUGUAAAUUCCACAGGCAAGCUACUCGUCUUACGAAAACUUGAAUAUACUAGCAUCUGCAAAACUGGAGCGGGACUGCAGGAUACUUGUCAAGUAUGUCUUUCUAGGAACUUCUCUAUCAAAACUGAGAAUGCAGCAAACCCAGCACAGCCAACACAAGCUGCUUUUGGACCACCU
rnacentral:misc_RNA from 1 species